rnacentral:pre_miRNA from 1 species
UCAUCGUCAUCCGCAUCCUCAUCCUCAUCCUCAUCCUCAUCCUCAUCCUCAUGAGGAUGAGGAGGAGCAUAGGAUGAGGAUGAGGGUGAUGAGGAUGAUGAGGA